UACGUAGGGGGCAAGCGUUGUCCGGAUUUAUUGGGCGUAAAGAGCGUGUAGGCGGCUUUACAGGUCCGUUGUGAAAACUCGAGGCUCAACCUCGAGACGCCGGUGGAAACCGUAAAGCUAGAGUCCGGAAGAGGAGAGUGGAAUUCCUGGUGUAGCGGUGAAAUGCGCAGAUAUCAGGAAGAACACCAGCGGCGAAGGCGGCACUCUGGGCCGGAACUGACGCUGAGGAGCGAAAGCGUGGGUAGCAAACAGG
rnacentral:rRNA from 1 species